rnacentral:rRNA from 1 species
AUUGAACGCUGGCGGCAGGCCUAACACAUGCAAGUCGAACGAGUGGCGGACGGGUGAGUAAUGUCUGGGAAACUGCCUGAUGGAGGGGGAUAACUACUGGAAACGGUAGCUAAUACCGCAUACCAUCGGAUGUGCCCAGAUGGGAUUAGCUAGUUGGUGGGGUAACGGCUCACCAGGGCGACGAUCCCUAGCUGGUCUGAGAGGAUGACCAGCCAAACUGGAACUGAGACACGGCCCAGACUCCUACGGGAGGCAGCAGUGGGGAAUAGUGCACAAUGGGCGCAAGCCUGAUGCAGCAAGGCCGCGUGAAUGAAGAAGGCCUUCGGGUUGUAAAGUACUUUCGGAGGGGAGGCGUUAUCCGAAGAAGAAGCACCGGCUAACUACGUGCCAGCAGCCGCGGUAAUAC